GUUCAAAUAGCUCAGUUGGUAGAGCGGAGAACUGAAAAUUCUUAUGUCACUGGUUCAAAUCCAGUUUUGAACA
rnacentral:tRNA from 2 species